AUGAAAGGGAUGGAUACAAUGCGUUUCAAGGAGAUAGCUAGGGUUCAAGAUUGGCAAAAUUUCCUCUUUUCUUCCUCAAUCUGCGGUGCGCCUCACUUCUUCUUCUCCGAUCGAAAUCAAACAGAACAUCGUUGCUCCUCUUUUGCAAAUCCGCUCCUUCUCGGUGCCAUAACCAUCCCUUUCCUCUCCGUCUUUAUAUCUAAGUGA